rnacentral:lncRNA from 1 species
CCUUUCUGACCAUUUUUGGUCCAGUUUUGACCAUUUUGGUUCCCUUUCCGACCACUUUGGGUCCAUUUCUGAUCAUUUUGGGGCUGUUUGGGCCCAUUUUGGGUCCAUUUCUGACCAUUUUGGCUCCAUUUCUGUCCACUUUGGUUCCAUUCCCGACCAUUUUGGGGCUGUUUGUGUCCAUUUCUGACCAUUUUGGGUCCAUUCCCGACCAUUUUGGGGCUGUUUGGGGCCAUUUCUGACCAUUUUGGGUCCAUUUCCGACCAUUUUGGGGCUGUUUGGUUCCAUUUCUGACCACUUUGGGUCCCUUUCUGACCAUUUUGGCUCCAUUUCUGUCCACUUUGGUUCCAUUCCCGACCACAUCUCAGCCCCACAUCUCAGCCCCACAACCUCCGCUAUGGGGCAGCCCCACAUCUCUGCCCCUCAGCCCCACAUUUCUGCCCCAUAGAUCUCCCAGCCCCACAUCUCAACCCCGCAACCUCCGCUGUUGGGCAGCCCCAUAUCUCAGCCCCACAUCUCCGCCCCAUAGAUCCCCCAGCCCCAUAUCUCCGCCCCAUAGAUCCCCCAGCCCCACAUCUCAGCCCCACAUCUCCACCCCAUAGAUCCCCCAGCCCUACAUCUCCACCCCACAGAUCCCCCAGCCCCACCUCU